rnacentral:rRNA from 1 species
CGGCAAAGAGUGCUUGCACCCUUUGGACGUCGACCGGCGCACGGGUGAGUAACGCGUAUCCAACCUGCCCUUUACUUGGGGAUAACCCGUUGAAAGACGGACUAAUACCCAAUGAUAUUCAUUGAUGACAUCUGAUUUGAAUUAAAGAUUUAUCGGUAUAGGAUGGGGAUGCGUCUGAUUAGCUUGUUGGUGAGGUAACGGCUCACCAAGGCAACGAUCAGUAGGGGUUCUGAGAGGAAGGUCCCCCACAUUGGAACUGAGACACGGUCCAAACUCCUACGGGAGGCAGCAGUGAGGAAUAUUGGUCAAUGGACGAGAGUCUGAACCAGCCAAGUAGCGUGCAGGAUGACGGCCCUAUGGGUUGUAAACUGCUUUUGUUUGGGAAUAAUCGACAUUACGUGUAAUGUUUUGCAUGUACCAUUCGAAUAAGGACCGGCUAAUUCCGUGCCAGCAGCCGCGGUAAUACGGAAGGUCCAGGCGUUAUCCGGAUUUAUUGGGUUUAAAGGGAGUGUAGGCGGUUGGUUAAGCGUGUUGUGAAAUGUAGAUGCUCAACAUCUGACCUGCAGCGCGAACUGGCUGACUUGAGUACACACAACGUAUGCGGAAUUCAUGGUGUAGCGGUGAAAUGCUUAGAUAUCAUGAAGAACUCCGAUUG